UGAUCGGAAGGGUUUCCUUCCGGUCAACGAGGCACAUGUACCUCAUCAACCGGAAGGAAACCCCUCCGAUUGAUGAGGUACAUCUACCUCAUCGACCGGAAGGAAACCCUUCCGGUCA
rnacentral:miRNA from 1 species